CCUACGGGUGGCUGCAGUGGGGAAUAUUGGACAAUGGGCGAAAGCCUGAUCCAGCCAUGCCGCGUGUGUGAAGAAAGCCUUCGGGUUGUAAAGCACUUUCAGUGGGGAAGAAAGCCUUGGGGCUAAUACCCUCGAGGAAGGACAUCACCCACAGAAGAAGCACCGGCUAACUCCGUGCCAGCAGCCGCGGUAAUACGGAGGGUGCGAGCGUUAAUCGGAAUUACUGGGCGUAAAGCGCGCGUAGGCGGUCUGAUAAGCCGGUUGUGAAAGCCCCGGGCUCAACCUGGGAACGGCAUCCGGAACUGUCAGGCUAGAGUGCAGGAGAGGAAGGUAGAAUUCCCGGUGUAGCGGUGAAAUGCGUAGAGAUCGGGAGGAAUACCAGUGGCGAAGGCGGCCUUCUGGACUGACACUGACGCUGAGGUGCGAAAGCGUGGGUAGCAAACAGGAUUAGAUACCCCAGUAGUC
rnacentral:rRNA from 1 species